rnacentral:misc_RNA from 1 species
UGUGGGAGCGAGCUUGCUCGCGAUUGCAUAGUGUCAGUCGACAUCUUCGUUGACUGAUACACCGCUAUCGCGAGCAAGCUCGCUCCCACA